UACGAAGGGUGCAAACGUUGCUCGGAAUUAUUGGGCGUAAAGCGCACGUAGGCGGCUUAGCAAGUCGGAAGUGAAAUCCCUCGGCUCAACCAAGGAAGUGCUUUCGAAACUGCUGAGCUUGAGUACUUAAGAGGAUCGCGGAAUUCCCGGUGUAGAGGUGAAAUUCGUAGAUAUCGGGAGGAACACCUGUGGCGAAAGCGGCGCACUGGACCACAACUGACGCUGAGGCGCGAAAGCUAGGGGAGCAAACAGG
rnacentral:rRNA from 1 species